UGCUUGUUUCACUGUAAGGGAAAGAGUCUUGUUCUGAGCUAUUGGACUGUACCUCCGACAGGAUUGCGAAUGGUGUCAAGAACAAACUUGAGCCUCCAGACCAGCUGUUGAUCAAGCAGUCCCCAUUGGACAGAAAGAAGUUGCGUUCUGCUAUACAAUAUUUCCAGGGGAGCCAGCCAAUCAACUCAUUAUUCGUAAUGCUUCGGCUAAAACUAUGAAUUACAAUGCAGCUCUGACAGUUUAACAUGCAGCACAUAACAUGGAAGAAAACAGCCCAAUUCAAUGAGGAAGUAUGAAGAACAACAAUGAAAAUACUUACUGAAUGAUUAAUAAUGGAAUAACAGAUUAACUAUACAAUA